rnacentral:rRNA from 1 species
GGGUUGUGAGGUUAAGCGACUAAGCGUACACGGUGGAUGCCCUGGCAGUCAGAGGCGAUGAAGGACGUGCUAAUCUGCGAUAAGCGCCGGUAAGGUGAUAUGAACCGUUAUAACCGGCGAUUUCCGAAUGGGGAAACCCAGUGUGACUCGUCACACUAUCAUUAACUGAAUCCAUAGGUUAAUGAGGCGAACCGGGGGAACUGAAACAUCUAAGUACCCCGAGGAAAAGAAAUCAACCGAGAUUCCCCCAGUAGCGGCGAGCGAACGGGGAGGAGCCCAGAGCCUGAAUCAGCAUGUGUGUUAGUGGAAGCGUCUGGAAAGGCGCGCGAUACAGGGUGACAGCCCCGUACACAAAAGCGCAUGUGCUGUGAGCUCGAUGAGUAGGGCGGGACACGUGGUAUCCUGUCUGAAUAUGGGGGGACCAUCCUCCAAGGCUAAAUACUCCUGACUGACCGAUAGUGAACCAGUACCGUGAGGGAAAGGCGAAAAGAACCCCGGCGAGGGGAGUGAAAAAGAACCUGAAACCGUGUACGUACAAGCAGUGGGAGCACCUUCGGGUGUGACUGCGUACCUUUUGUAUAAUGGGUCAGCGACUUAUAUUCUGUAGCAAGGUUAACCGUAUAGGGGAGCCGGAGGGAAACCGAGUCUUAACCGGGCGUUAAGUUGCAGGGUAUAGACCCGAAACCCGGUGAUCUAGCCAUGGGCAGGUUGAAGGUUGGGUAACACUAACUGGAGGACCGAACCGACUAAUGUUGAAAAAUUAGCGGAUGACCUGUGGCU